rnacentral:misc_RNA from 1 species
CGGCGCAGGUGGAGGUCACACAAUCAUUAUGGAUUCGGGCUUCUUCUCCGCCGCACGUCUCGCAAUCGGUGCACACACUGAUCACUCAGUGCGCCAUGCUCGUGUACUGGCUCUUCUCAGCCUCUUGUGGGUCUUUUGCAGACCCACCGCCGCCUCUCUUCUGCGUUCUUGGACGCCAGUGCCGCGGCGCCAUGACGAAGACACUUGCUUUGGGACACCCGUCCGAGAGUCUUGCGCCUACGGAUACGCAGCCGAAUAGCAAACCUGCUUCAUUGACCGCCGCAACAACCGCCGCCUCUGCCGCUUCGCCGGGUUUGCCGUCUGUGCCAGCUUCGCAAGACAAAGCUGUGGAGCGCGCACAGCAGCGUUCACCUCUGCUACCUUCGUCCGAUGCUCCCACGAUGAAGGCGUCCCCGAAUGACGGCAAGUGGGUGGGACUGCAAGAGACUACCGAUGGGCGAGCGGGAACAGAAAACGAAACGGGAAGCAGGGAUGCCCACGGAGACGACCUCUGGCGUGAAGGCUCAACAUACACCGACAAGGACAACCUUGAGGAGCGACGGCGAGUAGAGCGGCGGCGCGAAGCAGACACGGAGAUUGGCACCAUGUCCUUGCUGCAGUGGAUGGACAUAUCCGCAUUGCCGGAGGGCCAGUUCGCCUACUUGAUCAAGCGCGCUUUCUUCGCUCCACGCUUUCCGAUCAGCGCUUGCGCGAGCGGUGCGGUGCUGUUGGCGAUCUGCGUCGAUGGCGACCCAGCAUGCUCGAUUCUACGCCCGAAAAAGGAGACGGUGCGGCAACAAGGAUGACGACCUGGGUAGUCUCCUGACGGACUUCCUCCUCGGCCAGCGGGCGACAGCGCGGCUCUCCAGCCGCUUCGAAUCUCACUGACUGCAGCAGCGUCGCCGCGCACGUGCGCUCCAUGACCCGAUUUAUAACCGAGCUUCACCUCCUGCCACAAAAGGCGUCGGCUCGCAACGCUAGUGGACGCGAGUUGAGGAUGCCGGUCAAGAAGCACGAGCGCGCCAUGGACCACGGCACGGCUCUCGCGGACGACUGCGAGCUGCUCAACGUUGACGGCGUCCUCUCCGCCGAAGCGCGCAUGGAGGGGCCCUCGGAGUCACUGCGCAUUCGGCGGUUUUUUCCGUUUCCGUGAACCAGACAGAGUCCCACCUGCGUGCCUUGACUAUUUUCUCCACGCUGUUCACAUUUGAUUUCUUCCGCUGCUGUUGUGGCAUCAACAGCACGUGCAUACACGACGGGGGGCAGAGCCAGGACACGAUGUGGUUCGUGCGUGCCGCACCGACUGCGACCGCGGCCGUGACGCGGUGAUGAAGUUGACGCAAGCUGUUCUAGGCGAUGUGCUCACAUGUUUAUGCCCCCACUCCCUGUGCAUCUGGGAACACUAGCACAGUCGCACACAAUCACAUGGGACGGCACCUGCCAUGCGCAGAUGGCGAGGGUAGGUCGCGCCGUUCACGCUAGGGCGGCGACUGCUGUCUUUUGUUUUCAUUGGGCCGUCUCCCUACCUCUAUGGGCCGACCUUUCCUCUGCCCUCGGCAUCUUCUCCUGCCUUCGAAGGGCAAGAAUCGAAACGGCGGAAAAAGGUCGCGCAGAACAUUCAUCGGGUUCGUGUGUGUGUGUUUUCGAAUUUGUUGCCCCGCCCCCCCCCCACUCGGGCCCAAAACCGACAACACUAAAUAGGAAGACGAAAUGCGGCCAUGAAGAGGCAUACGGCGGCGACGAGACGCUGUUGCAUGUUUCAGCAUGUGAGUGUGUGACAACCCACCCUUCGGGGGCCUGUACGAGUGAGGUCCUCACAUAGAUGCACACACACGCACACACAGGGCAUGCAACGCACGAGAGGGGCAGCCAGGAGACACCGUACGAAGGAAAAAAAGACGAAGCCUCCCGUCCAGCAGCACUGUUGUGUGUUGCCGCCUGCUCCAUUUCGACAUGGUUUUUCUGUGUUGUGCACCACCCUCUUUU